UUUUGUCAAUUCACAUCUAUGAGCGAGGAUUCCUCUAUCUCUUGCUCGCUUCGAUCGGACUCUGACAGCUUAGGGAAGAAUGAUGGGUCGCUAACAAGGCCCCUAAAUGACCGCUCAGAAGGCCUACCUGUUUUUUUUCCCAAUCUGUCACUUGCUCGUCCCUCUCUCAUGAAAAUGGUCUCUCCUCUCCUCUCGCUGUCAGGUUUGGUUUUUGUUCCAUGUUGGGUCUCACUGUUUUAUUAUUGAUUGUCCCAUGGUUAGAAUACGCUUUUUUUUC
rnacentral:lncRNA from 1 species